rnacentral:lncRNA from 10 species
CAUGGCUUGCUUCUUUACUUCCCUCAGACCUCUGCUGAAAUACAAGAUACUUAUCAAGAUAAGGCAAGAUACUAAGAUAUAAGUUACUAAGAUGUAAGAUAAGACAGAUAACAGAUACAGAAGGAAGGUCCUCUGAAGGCCCAGAGAGAAGAUUGCCAUCUACAAACCACAAAGAAAGGCUUCAGAAGAAACCAACCCUACCAACAUUGUCAUCUCUGUCUUCUAGCCUAAGGAAAUGUGAGGAAAUAAAUUUCUGUUGUUUAAACAACCCAGUUAGUGAGGUUUUGUUUCAUCACUCCUAGUAAACUAAUACACCAGGAAUGAAAUGCUUGAAUUUCAUCAGAAUCUCCUUCAAUUCAUACAACAUAUAUUUUUUCUUUUAUUUUUGACCUCGAAGAUAUAUUUGCUUCUUAUUUGACUUAAGUAGCACUUUGAAGAAGUGGAUCUAAACAUUGAUUCUUACAUCUGGAAUCUAAACUGAACUUUUUUUUCUCCCCUCUUAUCGUUGGAUUACUCCAUUUAAAACAUAGCCUGUUGAGGCCGGGCGCAGUGGCUCACGCCUGUAAUCCCAGCACUUUGGGGAGCCGAGGCGGGUGGAUCACGAAGUCAGGAGUUCCAGAUAAGUCUGGUCAACACAGUGAAACCCCAUCUCUACUAAAAAUACAAAAUAUUAGCCG